rnacentral:rRNA from 1 species
UUAAGCGACUAAGCGUACACGGUGGAUGCCCUGGCAGUCAGAGGCGAUGAAGGACGUGCUAAUCUGCGAAAAGCGUCGGUAAGGUGAUAUGAACCGUUAUAACCGGCGAUGUCCGAAUGGGGAAACCCAGUGCAAUUCGUUGCACUAUCGUUAACUGAAUACAUAGGUUAACGAGGCGAACCGGGGGAACUGAAACAUCUAAGUACCCCGAGGAAAAGAAAUCAACCGAGAUUCCCCCAGUAGCGGCGAGCGAACGGGGAGCAGCCCAGAGUCUGAAUCAGCUUGUGUGUUAGUGGAACGGUCUGGAAAGUCCGACGGUACAGGGUGAUAGUCCCGUACACCAAAAUGCACAGGCUGUGAACUCGAAGAGUAGGGCGGGACACGUGGUAUCCUGUCUGAAUAUGGGGGGACCAUCCUCCAAGGCUAAAUACUCCUGACUGACCGAUAGUGAACCAGUACCGUGAGGGAAAGGCGAAAAGAACCCCGGCGAGGGGAGUGAAAAAGAACCUGAAACCGUGUACGUACAAGCAGUGGGAGCACCUUCGGGUGUGACUGCGUACCUUUUGUAUAAUGGGUCAGCGACUUAUAUUCUGUAGCAAGGUUAACCGUAUAGGGGAGCCGCAGGGAAACCGAGUCUUAACUGGGCGUUAAGUUGCAGGGUAUAGACCCGAAACCCGGUGAUCUAGCCAUGGGCAGGUUGAAGGUUGGGUAACACUAACUGGAGGACCGAACCGACUAAUGUUGAAAAAUUAGCGGAUGACUUGUGGCUGGGGGUGAAAGGCCAAUCAAACCGGGAGAUAGCUGGUUCUCCCCGAAAGCUAUUUAGGUAGCGCCUCGUGAACUCAUCUUCGGGGGUAGAGCACUGUUUCGGCUAGGGGGUCAUCCCGACUUACCAACCCGAUGCAAACUACGAAUACCGAAGAAUGUUAUCACGGGAGACACACGGCGGGUGCUAACGUCCGUCGUGAAGAGGGAAACAACCCAGACCGCCAGCUAAGGUCCCAAAGUCAUGGUUAAGUGGGAAACGAUGUGGGAAGGCACAGACAGCCAGGAUGUUGGCUUAGAAGCAGCCAUCAUUUAAAGAAAGCGUAAUAGCUCACUGGUCGAGUCGGCCUGCGCGGAAGAUGUAACGGGGCUAAACCAUGCACCGAAGCUGCGGCAGCGACACUAUGUGUUGUUGGGUAGGGGAGCGUUCUGUAAGCCUGCGAAGGUGACCUGUGAGGGUUGCUGGAGGUAUCAGAAGUGCGAAUGCUGACAUAAGUAACGAUAAAGCGGGUGAAAAGCCCGCUCGCCGGAAGACCAAGGGUUCCUGUCCAACGUUAAUCGGGGCAGGGUGAGUCGACCCCUAAGGCGAGGCCGAAAGGCGUAGUCGAUGGGAAACAGGUUAAUAUUCCUGUACUUGGUGUUACUGCGAAGGGGGGACGGAGAAGGCUAUGUUAGCCGGGCGACGGUUGUCCCGGUUUAAGCAUGUAGGCUGAUUAUCCAGGCAAAUCCGGAUAAUCAAGGCUGAGGUGUGAUGACGAGGCACCACGGUGCUGAAGUAACAAAUGCCCUGCUUCCAGGAAAAGCCUCUAAGCAUCAGGUAACAUCAAAUCGUACCCCAAACCGACACAGGUGGUCAGGUAGAGAAUACCAAGGCGCUUGAGAGAACUCGGGUGAAGGAACUAGGCAAAAUGGUGCCGUAACUUCGGGAGAAGGCACGCUGGUGUGUAGGUGAAGUCCCUGCGGAUGGAGCUGAGACCAGUCGAAGAUACCAGCUGGCUGCAACUGUUUAUUAAAAACACAGCACUGUGCAAACACGAAAGUGGACGUAUACGGUGUGACGCCUGCCCGGUGCCGGAAGGUUAAUUGAUGGGGUUAUCCGUAAGGAGAAGCUCUUGAUCGAAGCCCCGGUAAACGGCGGCCGUAACUAUAACGGUCCUAAGGUAGCGAAAUUCCUUGUCGGGUAAGUUCCGACCUGCACGAAUGGCGUAAUGAUGGCCAGGCUGUCUCCACCCGAGACUCAGUGAAAUUGAACUCGCUGUGAAGAUGCAGUGUACCCGCGGCAAGACGGAAAGACCCCGUGAACCUUUACUAUAGCUUGACACUGAACAUUGAGCCUUGAUGUGUAGGAUAGGUGGGAGGCUUUGAAGCGUGGACGCCAGUCUGCGUGGAGCCAACCUUGAAAUACCACCCUUUAAUGUUUGAUGUUCUAACGUUGGCCCCUUACCGGGGUUGCGGACAGUGUCUGGUGGGUAGUUUGACUGGGGCGGUCUCCUCCCAAAGCGUAACGGAGGAGCACGAAGGUUAGCUAAUCCUGGUCGGACAUCAGGAGGUUAGUGCAAUGGCAUAAGCUAGCUUGACUGCGAGCGUGACGGCGCGAGCAGGUGCGAAAGCAGGUCAUAGUGAUCCGGUGGUUCUGAAUGGAAGGGCCAUCGCUCAACGGAUAAAAGGUACUCCGGGGAUAACAGGCUGAUACCGCCCAAGAGUUCAUAUCGACGGCGGUGUUUGGCACCUCGAUGUCGGCUCAUCACAUCCUGGGGCUGAAGUAGGUCCCAAGGGUAUGGCUGUUCGCCAUUUAAAGUGGUACGCGAGCUGGGUUUAGAACGUCGUGAGACAGUUCGGUCCCUAUCUGCCGUGGGCGCUGGAGAAUUGAGGGGGGCUGCUCCUAGUACGAGAGGACCGGAGUGGACGCAUCACUGGUGUUCGGGUUGUCAUGCCAAUGGCACUGCCCGGUAGCUAAAUGCGGAAGAGAUAAGUGCUGAAAGCAUCUAAGCACGAAACUUGCCCCGAGAUGAGUUCUCCCUGAGACUUUAAGUCUCCUGAAGGAACGUUAAAGACGAUGACGUUGAUAGGCCGGGUGUGUAAGCGCAGCGAUGCGUUGAGCUAACCGGUACUAAUGAACCGUGAGGCUUAACCUU